GUCCACUUUUGCCAAGCCACCAACAAACCCAACCCACCUGUGAGUGUCGACCUGCAUUCCUCAGGCCAAGCCAAUUCUCCUCUCAGAUACUAAUUGUGUGGGGAGGUAAACACAGCAGUCAAGUGGAGAGGACGGCGAGUCAAGCGUGAAUAUCAAUCUCCCCACAUCAGUGUCAUCAGAUGACUUUGACAGAGUUGAAGCGGGCUUGUUAGAGUGGUGGAGCAGGGUAGUAACAUCCAGGUGGAUGGCUCUGAUGUUAAGGAAGCCUGCAGAGCAGUUAAGAGCUUUCCCGUCUCCACUUGCCUGCUCCUGCAGCUGCCACACGUCACUUCAGGGAUCUGAUGAACUGUACCCACCUCAGAUUAACCUUCAGCCCUGUCUUUCUUUUUCCUGCAAUCCCAAACCAUCUCCGGGGAUAUAACUUACUGACAUCCACCCCUUCAUGGAAACUGUUUAUGAGACUUCAGGGAACCAUAGCUGAACAACUUAAGGUCCAGAUGCAUC